GACACGGGUUCGUGCCCCGGUCCGGGAAGAUCCCACAUGCCGUGGAGCAGCUGGGCCCAUGAGCCAUGGCUGCUGAGCCUGCACGUCCGGAGCCUGUGCCCCACAACGGGAGAGGCCACAGCAGUGGGAGGCCCGUGUACCGCAAAAAAAAUAAUAAAAAAAUAAAAUAAAUAAAAAUACAAACAGGCUGAGGAAAAGGUUCUGAUUAAAGUUACACUUUAGGGUGCUUAGAAAAUUCCCCUUCCUAGAGCAGAUUGCUUGCUUGUUUUUAGUUCACGUGGGAUCAUGUUGGACCAAGGUCUGUUGGCAGUGAGCAAAUUCUGCCGCAGAGCUGAAGCCCACAUCUCCCUGACACCAUCCUCAGUGGGUAAGGAAUGUGCAAGUCACUAUCAUGGUUCUUAUCUUCCCACCCCUCUUGUCUCUUAGAUUAGAGACAGCACAUGCAAAAGCAAUCCCACAUGUCCUUGUCUUUAAAAAACCAGGUCACUCCUGUUAGUUUUUGGUCAGUUCUUUCUUAGGUAGAGAUAGGAUUUUGAAACCAUUGCUAGAAUCAUAUUAGCUUGAAAUCACUUACUGGCUUUGUGAAUUCCCCAUCCUUUAACAAAGGCUAAUUUUUUAAAAAAAUUAUUUAUUUUAUUUAUUUUUUGGCUGUGUUGGGUCUUCGUUGCUGCGUGUGGGCUUUCUCUAGUUGCGGUGAGUGUAGGCUACUCUUCGUUGCGGUGCGCGGGCUUCUCAUUGUCGUGGCUUCUCUUGUUGCAGAGCAUGGGCUGUAGGCAUGCGGGCUUCAGUAGUUGCAGCACACGGGCUCAGUAGAUGUGGCUUGCGGGCUCUAGAGCUCAGGCUCAGUAGUUGUGGCGCACGGGCUUAGUUGCUCCACGGCAUGUGGGAUCUUCCUGGUCCAGGGCUCGAACCCAUGUCCCCUUUAUUGGCAGGCGUGUUCUUAACCACUGCGCCACCAGGGAAGCCCAAGGCUAAUUCUUUGUUCACUACUGUUUUCAACCCCUGCUGCUUUGGUCAGAGGUGUUGGCUCUCUCUAUUCCUGAGAAUUGUUUUUAUCCCAUGGAAUUGGAGAUCAGUAACACCCAGUUCCCUUCCCCACUUCAUGAACAACUGCUUAUAAUCCAGAAAUCUAGAAAUAUGGUGCAAUACUAUUCAAUAUUGCUUUGCAUUAUACUGAUUCAAAUAAUACUGUGAAUCUAAACUAUGUUUAUCUAAACAUAACUCUGUACAAUAAAAAUUACAUGUUUGAUGUUAGUCUGCUGACUCAAAACCAAAAUGAAGAAUUUCCAUUAUAUUUGUUAAGUGGUCUUUAUUUAUAAGACUGCCAGUGGCUUUAGGGAGAAUAUUUAAAUAAAAUAUAUCUACCAGUCAAAACAAAAGGAGUUUUUAAUCAGCAACUUCAAGAGUAUAAAAGCUGCUUAUUCAUAAUCACGAAUCAGAAUGAUUAAAAUCUUACUGAGGGCUUCCCUGGUGGCGCAGUGGUUGAGAGUCCACCUGCCGAUGCAGGGGAUGCGGGUUCAUGCCCCGGUCCGGGAAGAUCCCGCAUGCCGCGGAGCGGCUGGGCCCGCGAGCCAUGGCCGCUGAGCAUGCGCGUCCAGAGCCUGUGCUCCGUGACGGGGGAGGCCGCAACAGUGAGAGGGCCGCGUACCGCAAACAAACAAACAAAAACUCACUGAGGUCACGCAAACCCCAGGUGUUUCUCUGCCACUUUGUUCUGGUGGCCUGACUGAACUGUGUGAUGUGACAUCACAGCUCAAAGGGAAAGAAUGUCAGUGGGGUGGACUUAGUUUUUCCCUUCUCAUGCCAAAGUCCCAAGGGCCUCGUUUUAGAAGGCGGUGCCCUGGGAAAACUGCCAACUUCUUCAGGCUAUCCUCCUUAAAGGCUCAGGUAUCGUGGGCCUCUGCUCCCCCAAAUCUGUGUUUAGUGAGAAGGAAAAGAUGUCCGUGUUCACCGGGGACUGAGGGUAUGUGACUCCCCCAGACCAGGCCUAAAAUGCUCCAAAUCCUGCUCAUUUUGUGCUGGUGACAGAUCAUUCUUCUCACUUGCUAAAGAGGCACCAUCAAGACUGGAUUUCGACCUGAGGAAAGAAAAUCCAAGAAGUCCACAUCGAUAAUCCCUCAGGACUCUAAGGACACGGUGUGGGGGACGGGGUGAUUCCAGCAGGCGGGAUCCCAAACUGAAGAAACCGUACCUUUUGGAAGGGAGAAGUAUCGAUUGAGCUGUGAAAGUAAUUAUAUCAUCUCAAAAGUAUUUUAAGCAGUAUAAGGAGGAGUACUGGAGGCUGAUUAUUGAAACUGCAGCUAUAGUUCAAUCCAGAAUUCUGUGAAUACUUAACAAGUGUUAACUGAGAGAGGCAUAAUGUUAAAUGCCUCGGGGCACACAAGACAGUCCUUAUCCUUAAGGAACCUGUGCGCAUAUCAAGCAUCUUUCUAAAAAGGCAGUACAUGAUGUAGCAUCAAAACAAUACAUAUCAUGGGCGUUAGGAGGUGGUAUAGAGACAGUUAAGUCCAACAGGAGGUAAGAGAAGAGACCAGCAGGUCAGUGAGGGCUUAAUACACUGGGCCUAACAGGAUGAGCAGGAAUUGGGUAUGGGGAAAAGAGAGACAGAACAUCCCAGAGUGGGAAAAUAGAAGUAAAAUCAGGAUAAAAAAAGAACAUGUUUGGAAGUCCUUCCUUUGUUCUCAUAAGGGCAGAGGUCAGAGCUCCCGGAUUUCUUUCCAAGGCGAUUCUAGUCCUGGCUCUUCCUUUGAGUAGAAUUCGCAUCUUUAACCGUACAGCGAAACCCAGCCAUUUCAAAGUGGAAUGCAUGCAUGAUUUUUAGAGGUAUACACAUGGAAAAAUUUUGUGAUACAAUUAUGUAGAUUUUUUUCUGUUUAUUGGGGGGAAAAAAUGGCACAUGAAAUUCAUGAUUCCACGAUAGGAUUCUCUAGAAUGAGGCUCAGUUAAAAUAAUGUUUGGUUCAAAGUGAAUUUAAGAAGACUCUUAAGCAAUUUGGGUGGCAUAUGGGUGUGACAGAGGGACAGAAAUGAAGUUAGAGAGACUUUGGACUCUGGCUUUCUCAGCUGUGAAGAGACUGACUAUGUGAUGUCCCAGGCCUCUGCUGCCCGCAACAGUUUUGAGUCCACAGUGCUCAAACCAGAGGCAAAAUAUCUCUCAUCAAUUCAAGGCACAGAGAUUUGGAUUCAGUUACUGGCCACUGAACCAAUUCACAGAUAUAAAUUUCUUUAGAAUUCUAGGAAUUACUUUUUAAAAAAAACUAUGAGUAGACAUUUGUACUCUACUUGAAAAUAAAAUUGUUUUUACAAAU